UACGUAGGUGACCAGCGUUGUCCGGAUUUACUGGGCGUAAAGAGCGCGCAGGCGGUCGUUCAAGUCGAGUGUGAAAGCCCCCGGCUCAACUGGGGAGGGUCAUUCGAUACUGAUCGACUUGAAGGCAGGAGAGGGAAGUGGAAUUCCCGGUGUAGUGGUGAAAUGCGUAGAUAUCGGGAGGAACACCAGUGGCGAAGGCGACUCUUUGGCCUGUAACUGACGCUGAGGCGCGAAAGCGUGGGGAGCAAACAGG
rnacentral:rRNA from 1 species